CCUACGGGAGGCAGCAGUGAGGAAUAUUGGUCAAUGGCCGGAAGGCUGAACCAGCCAAGCCGCGUGAAGGACGAAGGUGCCAAGCAUUGUAAACUUCUUUUGUCAAGGGACAAAACCAGGCUCGAGAGCCUGACCGAGGGUACUUGAAGAAAAAGCAUCGGCUAACUCCGUGCCAGCAACCGCGGUAAUACGGAGGAUCCGAGCGUUAUCCGGAAUUAGUGGGUUUAAAGGGUGCGUAGAUGGGUUGUUAAGUCAGUUGUGAAAGUCUUCUGCUCAACCAUAAAAUUGCAAUUGCAACUGGGAGCCUAGAGUGCGGGUGAGGUAGGCGGAAUGCGUGGUGUAGCGGUAAAAUGCUUAGAUAUCAAGAAGAACUCUGAUUGCGAAGGCAGCCUACUAAAAUGCCACUGACAUUGAUGCUCGAAAGUGUGGGGAGCAAACAGGAUUAGAUACCCGAGUAGUC
rnacentral:rRNA from 1 species